rnacentral:rRNA from 1 species
UUGCCCUACGGGAGGCAGCAGUGGGGGAUAUUGCACAAUGGGGGAAACCCUGAUGCAGCGACGCCGCGUGGGCGAAGAAGUAUUUCGGUAUGUAAAGCCCUAUCAGCAGGGAAGAAGAAAUGACGGUACCUGAGUAAGAAGCACCGGCUAAAUACGUGCCAGCAGCCGCGGUAAUACGUAUGGAGCAAGCGUUAUCCGGAUUUACUGGGCGUAAAGGGAGCGUAGGCGGCCUGCCAAGUCUGAUGUGAAAUACCGGGGCUCAACCCCGGGGCUGCAUUGGAAACUGGCAGGCUGGAGUGCCGGAG